UACGAAGGGGGCUAGCGUUGUUCGGAAUUACUGGGCGUAAAGCGUAUGCAGGCGGAUCGUUAAGUCGGGGGUGAAAUCCCGAGGCUCAACCUCGGAACUGCCUUCGAUACUGGCGAGCUUGAGUCCGGGAGAGGUGAGUGGAACUCCGAGUGUAGAGGUGAAAUUCGUAGAUAUUCGGAAGAACACCAGUGGCGAAGGCGGCUCACUGGCCCGGUACUGACGCUGAGAUACGAAAGCGUGGGGAGCAAACAGG
rnacentral:rRNA from 1 species